rnacentral:rRNA from 1 species
UUAAGAAUCUUGCACAAUGGGGGCAACCCUGAUGCAGCGACGCCGCGUGGAUGAUGAAGGCCUUCGGGUUGUAAAGUCCGGUAAGCAGGGAAGAAUAAGUCCGGGGUAAUAUUCCGGAUGAUGACGGUACCUGCCUAAAGCCCCGGCUAACUACGUGCCAGCAGCCGCGGUAAUACGUAUGGGGCAAGCGUUGUUCGGAAUUAUUGGGCGUAAAGGGCGCCUAGGCGGGGAACUAAGUUAGUUGUGAAAGCUAUGGGCUCAACCCAUAAAUUGCAUCUAAGACUGGUUCUCUUGAGUUCGGGAGAGGAGAGCGGAAUUCCAGGUGUAGCGGUGAAAUGCGUAGAUAUCUGGAAGAACACCAGUGGCGAAGGCGGCUCUCUGGCCUAGAACUGACGCUGAAGCGCGAAAGCGUGGGGAGCGAACA